CCUACGUGGUGCUGCAGUGGGGAAUAUUGGACAAUGGGCGAAAGCCUGAUCCAGCCAUGCCGCGUGUGUGAAGAAGGCCUUCGGGUUGUAAAGCACUUUCAGUGGGGAAGAAAGCCUUGGGGCUAAUACCCUCGAGGAAGGACAUCACCCACAGAAGAAGCACCGGCUAACUCCGUGCCAGCAGCCGCGGUAAUACGGAGGGUGCGAGCGUUAAUCGGAAUUACUGGGCGUAAAGCGCGCGUAGGCGGUCUGAUAAGCCGGUUGUGAAAGCCCCGGGCUCAACCUGGGAACGGCAUCCGGAACUGUCAGGAUAGAGUGCAGGAGAGGAAGGUAGAAUUCCCGGUGUAGCGGUGAAAUGCGUAGAGAUCGGGAGGAAUACCAGUGGCGAAGGCGGCCUUCUGGACUGACACUGACGCUGAGGUGCGAAAGCGUGGGUAGCAAACAGGAUUAGAUACCCCAGUAGUC
rnacentral:rRNA from 1 species